rnacentral:rRNA from 1 species
CCUACGGGAGGCAGCAGUGAGGAAUAUUGGUCAAUGGCCGCAGGGCUGAACCAGCCAAGUCGCGUGAGGGAUGACGGUCCUAUGGAUUGUAAACCUCUUUUGUCAGGGAGCAAAGGGCGCCACGUGUGGCGCUUUGCGAGUACCUGAAGAAAAAGCAUCGGCUAACUCCGUGCCAGCAGCCGCGGUAAUACGGAGGAUGCGAGUGUUAUCCGGAUUUAUUGGGUUUAAAGGGUGCGCAGGCGGAAUGUCAAGUCAGCGGUAAAAUUUCGGGGCUCAACCCCGUCGUGCCGUUGAAACUGGCGUUCUUGAGUGAGCGAGAAGUAUGCGGAAUGCGUGGUGUAGCGGUGAAAUGCAUAGAUAUCACGCAGAACUCCGAUUGCGAAGGCAGCAUACCGGCGCUCAACUGACGCUCAUGCACGAAAGCGUGGGUAUCGAACAGGAUUAGAUACCCCAGUAGUC